UUGAAUUUUCGUCUUCUUUAUUUUUAAUUUCUAUGUUUAGCUCGUUCAAACUUCAAACCGUAAAACAGAUACAUGUGAAACAAAAAUCGACAACCCCAUCUCAUUUGUUGAGAGCUUUUUCUCAUACCCGUUAUCAUAUUCAAAGAAAUAACCUAGUAUGGUCCGUGUGAAUUUAUCUUCUUCCUUUUUCAUUUCAUGGCUCAAGAUUGUGCAUUUGCAGACCAUCAAGUACUCAAACCAUUGCUCUCUCUGUGAUUGGAUCUCUCUUUUCUUUUCCAUCGACAAAGUCGAUGGGAGAGAAUAUGGAUAACAAGAUGAUGAUGUUUGACGAAAGAAGAUUUUGGAGUACGUAAGUAGCCGAUUGAUCCUAGAAUGAGUAAGCAGCAGAUUGAUCCUAGCUAGUUUCGAUAAGAUGAGAAAGCUAGGAGAGUGAGGGAGAGAAAGGCAAUGGUGGUCUGGCCAGGGCUGUUUCUGACGAGAGAAAAAGAGGAGAUCGAGGUGGCGUGGGUGGUGGUUGUUGUAGUGGUUGUUUGGGUUGAUGUGAAGGAGAGGAGCUGUUGAGUGGUGGCUGGUCUUGGUGGAGAUUCAGUGGGUUACUAUGGGUUGGUUUAUGAUGGUGGCUGUGAAACUAAUUCGGUCUGGUAGGGGCUGGACUCUAGUGGUGUCUUUCUAGUGGUAUUGGUAACAUGGAGAGAUCGCAGGAGCAAUUGAUGGUGGUUUGGUUGGCUAUAAGGGAAAAAGGUCUCGUCACGGUCGUUGAGGCUAGUGGUUGAAGAAAAAUCUCGCGUAAAAUAAUUGGUCAUCAUCUUGUCAAAUUGACUGUGUAAACUCGAUAUAAUCUAGGGAUUCGUUUUGUUGA